UUUUUUGUUUUUUGUUUUUGUUUUUUUGACUUCAAGCACAUGUUGAAUUUUUACCUACAGGCUUCUCUUGUGAAGACAAAGGGAGAAUACACUGCUUUGCACCAGUGGAGGAAAUGCAUUUUAAGAGAGGUUUUAUGGAGAAGAAAGACAUUCCAGAAAGAAACUUUCCAAUGGAAAAGGGAAGUCUCAUAACCAAGCAAGAAGAACCUGGAGAAGUAGGUCUUGUGCACAGAAACCCUUGUAACUUCCUGAUUUUCUGUCCUAAACAGGGAUUCUUGACCAAGCAAGGGUGAGACUUAUUAGAUCACCCAAUCAAAUGUCUUCCUUCCAGAGUUUUGGAAACUUCUCCUGGGUAGGGUGGGGGUUCAUUGUCCAACCUUGACUCUAAAUAAAUCUAAAAGAGGGAUUUAAAAAAACUGCCUCUCAACUACUGGAGUUAAAUGGAUUUUAAGAGGAACAGUUAGAAUUUGUAUAAUCAAAGUUCUUUUGGCUGUUGAAUGCAUCAGUCUAUAUGCUUAUUUAAAUGAAAAUAAAGUGGCUCAUCAUGCUUGAUUAAUCUAA